UUGGAAAAUCGCUUUCUCUCUCUUCACUUUAGAGCUCCUAAGCUCUGCAAGUGGAGCCACCCUUCGUCGACCCAUCUUCAUCAGAGAAGACGGUGGUUGCCGGCCACCCACGACGGCGCCACCUUCUUCUCCGGCCAAAACACGUCGAAACCCUACACUCCAAACACUAACCCUACCUUAUCUUGGCUGGAGAACACGAAUCUGGCCUUAGAUCUUCCUAAAUCUCUCUUAAAUAACCAGAUCGAGACUCAACACAAGAUGAGCAAACUCAAACUCCAAUGCAACAACAACUCAUCGCAACCAAACAAAACCCUAACUCCUUUCAAACAACAAAUUAAAACCAAACGGCAAUGGAACAAAUUGAACCUAAACCCUAAUUCUGGAUUUAAACCUUCAACAAUUGCAAUUUAAAGAAAUUACAAAGGGGUUUCACUCAGUUCGCAAGGACGAAUACGAUGGCGCAAAGAGUUUAAGUAGGAAAAGAGGUUUUACUUGAUCAGAGUCAAUCGUCGGCGACGCUUCCCCACCACGUUUGAGAUAAGUCUUCUCUUACUUUCGAUUCCUCUUCGUCUUCCUCUUCUCUGUCUUUUCUUUUGAAUGCUAUGUGGUUGAUGUUCAAAGGAAAAUUAUUUUUUGAUUUCUUCUUUUAUGAUUCAUCGUCAUCUCCUUAAAUGAAAUAGUUCUCUGGGUAUAUAUGUUCUUAUCUUCUUCAUGAUGAAUUUUUAAGUCCCAAGAUAAUUUGUCAGGAUAUCUUUUGCUUAUCCUAGAUUUCAUGGGAUUUGAUUUUGUGGAUUCGUUAUAUUUCUGGGUGUUCGUUGUGGUAUUUUGGGCAAAGUUUUAAACUGAUCAAUUAUUCAUUAUCCUUCAGUUUUUUAAGUGUUUAUUGAAAAUACUUUUGACUUAAAUUGUCACUUCCUUCGCAGGUCAAAAACCCAAUUGAGGAAGAGGGAACGGAUGCCCGUUGGCUCUAAGAGGAGGUUGGAAUUUUGGGGCGUUUUGGCCUAAACGACGGUCUUGGCAAUGGCUUUCAAAAGUUUUGUCUUCAAUCUACUGGAUUUGCAGCAGCCUUGCUUUUGUUAUUCAAUUUUAAACAUUAAGAUGUAACACUUAGAUUUUUAGGACAAAUGUACUGGCUUUUGGGCUGUAUGUAACGUAUGUAUGAUUCUAGCUUAAGACUUAUCCGUGUAAUCAAUUCUUAAACUUUAUCUUGAUAUUUCAAUUGGAAAUUUAUUUGGACCGCCAUAAACAAUCAACUAAUGGUUACCUUUAGUAUAUUACUAUUAGCAAAAUAAAAAUGUAACCAAAAGUCUAAAAUGAAA
rnacentral:lncRNA from 1 species